AAACCAACAGGGAUUACCUCAGUAACGGCGAGUGAAGCGGUAACAGCUCAAAUUUGAAAUCUGGGUCUUUCAGGCUCCGAGUUGUAAUUUGUAGAAGAUGCUUCGGGUGCGGCUCCGGUCUAAGUUCCUUGGAACAGGACGUCAUAGAGGGUGAGAAUCCCGUAUGUGACUGGCUGCUUGCGCCCAUGUGAAGCUCUUUCGACGAGUCGAGUUGUUUGGGAAUGCAGCUCAAAAUGGGUGGUAAAUUUCAUCUAAAGCUAAAUAUUGGCCAGAGACCGAUAGCGCACAAGUAGAGUGAUCGAAAGAUGAAAAGCACUUUGGAAAGAGAGUUAAACAGUACGUGAAAUUGUUGAAAGGGAAGCGCUUGCAACCAGACUUGCGCGUUGCCGAUCAUCCGGGGUUCUCCCCGGUGCACUCGGCUUCGCUCAGGCCAGCAUCGGUUUCGGUGGUGGGAUAAAGGCCUUGGGAAUGUAGCUCCUCUCGGGGAGUGUUAUAGCCCUCGGUGCAAUGCCGCCUACCGGGACCGAGGACCGCGCUUCGGCUAGGAUGCUGGCGUAAUGGUUGUAAGCGAC
rnacentral:rRNA from 1 species